rnacentral:misc_RNA from 1 species
AGUCGUAACAAGGUUUCCGUAGGUGAACCUGCGGAAGGAUCAUUAACAAAUCCAUGGCGAGAGGGCUAUAUGCUCUCUCACAUAAACCGGAUCUCCGAGAGGAGGUUCGCCUGUAGCAGUCAUCCAUCCAGAAAUGGUGGUGGCAACUACAGAAAUAGGCUAUGCUUGUGUGUCUUAUAACAACAAUAUAAUCAAUCAUAAACAACUUUUAACAAUGGAUCUCUUGGCUCUU